GUGAAUAUAUAUAAUUAAUCAGCCCACUUUUGUCUUCCAAAUUCAGCAUCCAAUUCUGCCUUACUGCCAAUUCUGUGCGUGUAUGUAUGAUUAAUUUCAGCAGCUGUGCAGCCCUCAAAUUCUGUCCAGAAAGCAACUUCGGUUUCUACGUAUAUAUUUAAUAGAAUCUCCUCCUUUUCCGUGUAUUGGCUGCCUCUUCUAAUCUGCCGACCAGCCCUUCAAUUUGUAUGAAAUUAUAUAAAUAAUGGCUGACUUCAAUGUGUGUAGAGAUAUAAUAAUGGUUGCUUUCUUGUUUUCCUCCCAGGCUGCCGUUUCUUGUAUGUAUAAUAUCAAUUGAAUCCCAAGGCAGCCCCUCUCUUUUUGCGUGUAAUAUAUCUUCAAUUCACCCCC
rnacentral:lncRNA from 1 species